AAUCCAUAGGUUAAUGAGGCGAACCGGGGGAACUGAAACAUCUAAGUACCCCGAGGAAAAGAAAUCAACCGAGAUUCCCCCAGUAGCGGCGAGCGAACGGGGAGGAGCCCAGAGCCUGAAUCAGCAUGUGUGUUAGUGGAAGCGUCUGGAAAGGCGCGCGAUACAGGGUGACAGCCCCGUACACAAAAGCGCAUGUGCUGUGAGCUCGAUGAGUAGGGCGGGACACGUGGUAUCCUGUCUGAAUAUGGGGGGACCAUCCUCCAAGGCUAAAUACUCCUGACUGACCGAUAGUGAACCAGUACCGUGAGGGAAAGGCGAAAAGAACCCCGGCGAGGGGAGUGAAAAAGAACCUGAAACCGUGUACGUACAAGCAGUGGGAGCACCCUUCGGGGUGUGACUGCGUACCUUUUGUAUAAUGGGUCAGCGACUUAUAUUCUGUAGCAAGGUUAACCGUAUAGGGGAGCCGUAGGGAAACCGAGUCUUAACCGGGCGUUAAGUUGCAGGGUAUAGACCCGAAACCCGGUGAUCUAGCCAUGGGCAGGUUGAAGGUUGGGUAACACUAACUGGAGGACCGAACCGACUAAUGUUGAAAAAUUAGCGGAUGACCUGUGGCUGGGGGUGAAAGGCCAAUCAAACCGGGAGAUAGCUGGUUCUCCCCGAAAGCUAUUUAGGUAGCGCCUCGUGAAUUCAUCUCCGGGGGUAGAGCACUGUUUCGGCUAGGGGGCCAUCCCGGCUUACCAACCCGAUGCAAACUGCGAAUACCGGAGAAUGUUAUCACGGGAGACACACGGCGGGUGCUAACGUCCGUCGUGAAGAGGGAAACAACCCAGACCGCCAGCUAAGGUCCCAAAGUCAUGGUUAAGUGGGAAACGAUGUGGGAAGGCCCAGACAGCCAGGAUGUUGGCUUAGAAGCAGCCAUCAUUUAAAGAAAGCGUAAUAGCUCACUGGUCGAGUCGGCCUGCGCGGAAGAUGUAACGGGGCUAAACCAUGCACCGAAGCUGCGGCAGCGACACUGUGUGU
rnacentral:rRNA from 1 species